rnacentral:rRNA from 1 species
UCAGGGGCGGCGUGCUUACCAUGCAGUCGAACGAUGAACCAGGAGCUUGCUCUUGGGAAUUAGUGGCGAACGGGUGAGUAACACGUGAGUAACCUGCCCUUGACUCUGGGAUAACCUCCGGAAACGGAAGCUAAUACCGGAUACGACGUACGGAGGCAUCUCCUGUACGUGGAAAGAACUUCGGUCAAGGAUGGACUCGCGGCCUAUCAGGUAGUUGGUGAGGUAACGGCUCACCAAGCCUACGACGGGUAGCCGGCCUGAGAGGGUGACCGGCCACACUGGGACUGAGACACGGCCCAGACUCCUACGGGAGGCAGCAGUGGGGAAUAUUGCACAAUGGGCGCAAGCCUGAUGCAGCAACGCCGCGUGAGGGACGACGGCCUUCGGGUUGUAAACCUCUUUUAGUAGGGAAGAAGCGAAAGUGACGGUACCUGCAGAAAAAGCACCGGCUAACUACGUGCCAGCAGCGGCGGGUAAUA